GCUUGUCUCAAAGAUUAAGCCAUGCACGUCUAAGUAUAAGCGAUUAUACUGUGAAACUGCGAAUGGCUCAUUAUAUCAGUUAUAGUUUAUUUGAUGGUCCUUGCUACUUGGAUAACCGUAGUAAUUCUAGAGCUAAUACAUGCGCCCAGACCCAACUUUUAGGAAGGGUUGUAUUUAUUAGGUACAGAACCAAUGCAAGCUACGCUUGACCUUUUGGUGAUUCAUGGUAACCGAACGAAUCGCACGGCACCAGCUGGCGAUGGACCAUUUCAGUUUCUGACCUAUCAGCUUCCGACGGUAGGAUAUGGGCCUACCGUGGCAAUGACGGGUAACGGAGAAUUAGGGUUCGAUUCCGGAGAGGGAGCCUGAGAAACGGCUACCACAUCCAAGGAAGGCAGCAGG
rnacentral:rRNA from 1 species